rnacentral:rRNA from 1 species
GUCCACGCCGUAAACGAUGAGUACUAGGUGUUGCGGGUAUUUACCCCUGCAGUGCCGCAGCUAACGCAUUAAGUACUCCGCCUGGGAAGUACGGUCGCAAGACUAAAACUCAAAGGAAUUGACGGGGGCCCCGCACAAGCGGUGGAGCAUGUGGUUUAAUUCGACGCAACGCGCAGAACCUUACCUGGGCUUGACAUCUACGGAACCUCUGUGAAAGCAGGGGGUCCUUUCGGGGAGCCGUAAGACAGGUGCUGCAUGGCUGUCGU